UACGUAGGGUGCAAGCGUUGUCCGGAAUUAUUGGGCGUAAAGAGCUUGUAGGCGGUUUGUCGCGUCUGCUGUGAAAAUCCGGGGCUCAACUCCGGACUUGCAGUGGGUACGGGCAGGCUAGAGUGUGGUAGGGGAGACUGGAAUUCCUGGUGUAGCGGUGGAAUGCGCAGAUAUCAGGAGGAACACCGGUGGCGAAGGCGGGUCUCUGGGCAGUAACUGACGCUGAGGAGCGAAAGCGUGGGGAGCGAACAGG
rnacentral:rRNA from 1 species